GCACACACGCUGCCCUUUAUUAGAACCAGUUAUAGUUUUUCCCUCUAAAACCCUAUCACCCAUCCGGGUAAUAAAUCAAACGUGUUCCAUUGCAUAAACCCAAUGAUUGAUUAAUAUUUCUGAGAAGCAUAACAGAAACACCAACCUGAGCGGUCGGACCACCAGACACAUCCGAAGAACCUCCUAAAAGAAUAUGCGUACAACAUGAACCAAGCAAAACAUAACCUCCCGCGUCGACAAACAAGUAUAACUUAUUGGUAAACUAAUACCAGGAAACACAGUCGGACAACCAACAAUAGGAUCAACAAUAAAUUACGCAGCGUCCCGACCAUCAAAUCCAGAUGAAGAAUUACCUGCGCGCAAGAAAAAUAUUAUAAAUAAAUGAAAGCGUAGAUUAAAACAGUCGACCAGUAACUUACUUGCAAGUAGAUAGCUCACACAGAAUAUGAAUUAGUAUAAAGAAACACAUGCACGUUGUAACAUCAGCCUACACUACUGCAUGCACGUAGUGCCUGAUAACCGGAAAGCAAGCUCGCAUGAACUGCUAAUCCAUCGACAAAGGACCCACCAAACAUUUUUUUCAUUAUAAGAAAUACUAAUGCAAUCCACUGGAGAAGUGCCGGAUCACACACAUGCACGCAGUCACAUCAACCUACACAGCUGCAUGCAUGCAUGCACUCGCAGAUCACCAAAGCAUUUUCCUAAACAGAUGUAGUUGCGUCAACUCACCGGCAACAAAACCAACAGGAUGCUUUCCUAAACGAAUCUCUCGGCGCCGACGGCGCAAUUCACCGGCGGACGCAGGGGCGGACCCAGGACAAAAAUGUCCCGGUGUCCCAUGUCUAUCCCAUACUCCACUUGUGGAUAUCAAACAAUAAUAUGAAUAUAUUAAUACACUUAACAGUUCAAUAUGUAUAGAAAGCCAUGUAAUAGUAAAAAUACUUACACAAAUCCAAAAUGACAAGUUUGAAUUAAAAUGGUAGUUGAUAGGAGGGAAAUGAACAAUAGUGGAUCAUCGAGUCUCCAAGAAAAAUGCGGCAUUAGGUGUCAAUUGUCUACAAAUAAACAAAAUCACUUAGUAUAAUCAUUAUGUAAACUUGCGUAAUCGAAAAAAACUGAAAAGUUAAGAUCAUUACUUUCAAAAUGGGAUAUGCAUCAUUUAGUUAAUGUGAGGGGGCAAUAUCUUUACCUUGAAUCAAUUUUAGGUCCCCCUUUUCCCUAGAAACCUUGCCAUAAAAUCUGCUAAC
rnacentral:lncRNA from 1 species